rnacentral:SRP_RNA from 1 species
AUAAUGGCUAGACUGGAGGGUUAGGGGUCCUCUGUAAGCACACACCCCCUUUGGUGCGGUUGAAGUUUUAGGGGCGAGUUUGGAAUUAGGUUUUGGCCUUAAAAAAUAACAUAGAAGCUUCGUCCUACAAGAUCAGUGGUCAUAUAGUUCUAACUGGAGGGUUAGAAUUAAAUAUGUUUAUUUUAUGGAAUGUGUUAGGCCUGGAAAGGAGCAGCUCUACUAAUAACAUCUGAUGUUUGUGGGGUCACGGGGUGGAGUUAGGUUUUGAGAUAACUAAAACCUAUGAACUUUCUCCACCCUUUAACAUGCUAUUUU